GUUAAGUCAGGCAACGAGCGAGACCCACGCCCACAGUUGCCAGCGUACUCUCUGGAGUGACGGGUACACUGUGGGGACCGCCGCUGCUAAAGCGGAGGAAGGAAUGGGCAACGGUAGGUCAGUAUGCCCCGAAUAUCCCGGGCUACACGCGAGCUACAAUGGUUGGUACAAUGGGUAUCUACCCCGAAAGGGGACGGGAAUCUCCUAAAACCAAUCUUAGUUCGGAUUGAGGGCUGCAACUCGCCCUCAUGAAGCUGGAAUCCGUAGUAAUCGCGUUUCAACAGAACGCGGUGAAUACGUCCCUGCUCCUU
rnacentral:rRNA from 1 species